rnacentral:rRNA from 1 species
GACGAACGCUGGCGGCGUGCCUAAUACAUGCAAGUCGAGCGAGAAGACGUAGCAAUACGUUUGUAAAGCGGCGAACGGGUGAGGAAUACAUGGGUAACCUACCCUCGAGUGGGGAAUAACUAGCCGAAAGGUUAGCUAAUACCGCAUACGACUCUCGGUCUGCGGAUCGAGAGGGAAAGCGAUACCGUGGGUAUCGCGCUCAUGGAUGGGCUCAUGUCCUAUCAGCUGUUGGUGAGGUAACGGCUCACCAAGGCUUCGACGGGUAGCUGGUCUGAGAGGACGAUCAGCCACACUGGCACUGCGACACGGGGCCAGACUCCUACGGGAGGCAGCAGUAAGGAAUAUUGCGCAAUGGGCGACAGCCUGACGCAGCGACGCCGCGUGGGGGAUGAAGGUCUUCGGAUUGUAAACCCCUUUCAGCAGGGAAGAUGGAACGGGCAACCGUUCGGACGGUACCUGCAGAAGCAGCCACGGCUAACUUCGUGCCAGCA